rnacentral:rRNA from 1 species
UACGGGAGGCAGCAGUGGGGGAAUAUUGCACAAUGGGCGCAAGCCUGAUGCAGCCAUGCCGCGUGUAUGAAGAAGGCCUUCGGGUUGUAAAGUACUUUCAGUCGUGAGGAAGGUGUUAAGGUUAAUAACCUUAGCAAUUGACGUUAGCGACAGAAGAAGCACCGGCUAACUCCGUGCCAGCAGCCGCGGUAAUACGGAGGGUGCGAGCGUUAAUCGGAAUUACUGGGCGUAAAGGGCACGCAGGCGGUUAAUUAAGUUGGAUGUGAAAUCCCCGGGCUUAACCUGGGAAUGGCAUUCAAGACUGGUUAGCUAGAGUCUUGUAGAGGGGGUAGAAUUCCAUGUGUAGCGGUGAAAUGCGUAGAGAUGUGGAGGAAUACCGGUGGCGAAGGCGGCCCCUGGGACAAAGGACUGACGCUCAUGUGCGAAAGCGUGGGGAGCAAACGAGGGAUUAGA